UCCUACGGGUGGCAGCAGCUAAGAAUAUUCCGCAAUGGACGAAAGUCUGACGGAGCGACGCCGCGUGGAUGAUGAAGGCCGAAAGGUUGUAAAGUCCUUUUGCUGGGGAAGAAUAACCAUGGGAGGGAAUGCCCGUGGGAUGACAUGAACCGGCGAAUAAGCCCCGGCUAACUACGUGCCAGCAGCCGCGGUAACACGUAGGGGGCGAGCGUUGUUCGGAAUUACUGGGCGUAAAGGGGAUGUAGGCGGCUUGGUAAGCCUGGCGUGAAAGUCGUCGGCUCAACCGGUGGAUUGCGUUGGGAACUGCCGGGCUUGAAUCACGGAGAGGGAGCUAGAAUUCCAGGUGUAGGGGUGAAAUCUGUAGAGAUCUGGAAGAAUACCAGUGGCGAAGGCGAGCUCCUGGCCGAUGAUUGACGCUGAGGUGCGAAAGUGUGGGGAUCAAACAGGAUUAGAUACCCCGGUAGUCAC
rnacentral:rRNA from 1 species